rnacentral:rRNA from 1 species
AUUGAACGCUAGCGGCACGCCUAACACAUGCAAGUCGAACGGCAGCGUGUCUCACUUUCGGGUGAGAUGACGGCGAGUGGCGGACGGGUGAGUAAUACGUAGGAAUCUGCCUUGAAGUGGGGGACAACCACGCGAAAGCGUGGCUAAUACCGCAUAAUAUCUAAGGAUCAAAGCUGGGGACCGUAAGGCCUGGCACUUUGAGAUGAGCCUACGUUGGAUUAGCUUGUUGGUGAGGUAAAGGCUCACCAAGGCAACGAUCUAUAGCUGGUCUGAGAGGACGAUCAGCCACACGGGGACUGAGACACGGCCCAGACUCCUACGGGAGGCAGCAGUGGGGAAUCUUGGACAAUGGGGGCAACCCUGAUCCAGCGAUGCCGCGUGUGUGAAGAAGGCCUUCGGGUUGUAAAGCACUUUUAGUAGGGAAGAAAGAUUUUUAUUAAAUAGAUUAAAAUUUUGACAUUACUUACAGAAAAAGCACCGGCUAACUCUGUGCCAGCCGCCGCGGUAA